rnacentral:rRNA from 1 species
UACAGAGGGUGCAAGCGUUAAUCGGAAUUACUGGGCGUAAAGCGUGCGUAGACGGUUACAUAAGUCGGGUGUGAAAGCCCCGGGCUCAACCUGGGAAGUGCACUCGAAACUGCAGAACUCGAGUCCUGGAGAGGAAGGCGGAAUUCUCGGUGUAGAGGUGAAAUUCGUAGAUAUCGAGAGGAACACCGGUGGCGAAGGCGGCCUUCUGGACAGUGACUGACGCUGAGACGCGAAAGCGUGGGGAGCAAACAGG